rnacentral:lncRNA from 1 species
CCCGCGUGAAGAUGGUGUUAGGAGGUCAGACCUUUGGAAGGUGAUGAGGUCAUGAGGGUGGAGCCCCAACGAAUGGGAUUAGUGCCCUCAUGAAAGAGACACAAGAGAGAUGAUCUCUUUCCUCCGAUUGAGGACACAGCAGGAAGCCUGCCCGUCUGCAACCAAGAAGCCAGCCUGCAGCAGAAUCUGACGGUGCAGGCGCCCGGAUCUCAGAACUGCCAGCCUGCAGAACUCAGAGGAGAGACAUGUCUGUUGUUUGUAGGUCACCCAGUCAGCGGUUCUUUUUAUAGCAGCCUGAACUGACUAAGACACUUGGGAAGGGCGGCUGUGGUGUUGAAAGCUCAUUUGGCCAGGGUUGAAUUAGCAGAGUGCAUUGAGAAAUGGAACUCAAGCCCAGUGUGAUCUUCUGGGAAAAGCUGACACCAGAAAACAAAAGAGAGCAAGAGAGAAGACAGUGGGUGAAGUCCUGGUUCCAGACUCCCCUUUUUGCCGGGAUAUGAUGGAUCUGUCAGCUGGUGCCUAGAGUCCUAGAGAGCUAGAGAUGGAGGGAAAUUCAGAUCAUCUAAACCCUUCAGCCCUUCACUGGACAGAAGAGGAAACUGAGGCUCCAUCUGCAUGACGUUCCCAGAGUCACGGCACAAAUUCAUGGAAGAAGCAGCAGGAAACUCAGUUCUCCAGUCUGGGUCCAAUGUGUGUUUUAGAAAUAUCUCCACAGGGUUAAUGACUCAAUUUUUCAUGCAUGAUUGCUAGUAAUGACAAUCAUGUUAUGUUUGUUUCUGUAGCUUUGGAAAUCACUCCUUCCACUUGAGUUUCAGGUCCCAACUGUCCACACCUGCAGGAGUGAGGUUUUGCUGAGACUGAUAAGGCACUCACAUUUUGUGGGAGUUGAAUUGUCUCUGUAGCCUAGAAUCUAGAUUUUUUUCCCUCCUCUGCUCUCAGUGAACGGAGAAUUCCAUCUCGGUACAAUCUGUGAACCAUUCUGCAGUAAGAUUGUCAUCGUCUCAUUCAUACUACCUGGUCGGUAACACAAAGGGCUGUAAUUGAUGUGGUUCAGAGACUCACAUCCAAGCAAUAAAAAUGAAUCCCUUAUGGUGGUCUGCAGCAA